UACGUAGGGGGCGAGCGUUGUCCGGAAUCAUUGGGCGUAAAGAGCUCGUAGGUGGUUUGGUAAGUCGGAUGUGAAAUCUCCAGGCUCAACCUGGAGGGGUCAUUCGAUACUGCCAUGACUAGAGUGUGGUAGGGGAGACUGGAAUUCCUGGUGUAGCGGUGAAAUGCGUAGAUAUCUGGAGGAACACCGGUGGCGAAGGCGGCAUCCUGGACCGGCAUUGACGCUGAGGAGCGAAAGCCAGGGGAGCAAACGGG
rnacentral:rRNA from 1 species